rnacentral:rRNA from 1 species
AGUGGCGAACGGGUGAGUAACACGUGGGCAACCUGCCCCUUAGUUGAGGAUAACUAUUGGAAACGAUAGCUAAUACUGAAUACGAUGUACAAACGCAUGUGAGUACAUUGAAAGAAGCGUUUGCUUCGCUAAGGGAUGGGCCUGCGGUGCAUUAGCUAGUUGGUGCGGUAACGGCGUACCAAGGCGACGAUGCAUAUCCGGGCUGAGAGGCUGAACGGACACAUUGGGACUGAGACACGGCCCAAACUUCUACGGAAGGCUGCAGUAGGGAAUUUUUCGCAAUGGGCGCAAGCCUGACGAAGCAAUGCCGCGUGAGGGAUGAAGGUUUUCGGAUUGUAAACCUCUGUUAUAAGGGAAGAAAACCUAGUAUAGGAAAUGAUACUAGCUUGACGGUACCUUAUCAGAAAGGGACGGCUAACUACGUGCCAGCAGCCGCGGUAAUACGUAGGUCCCGAGCGUUAUCCGGAAUUAUUGGGCGUAAAGAGCAUGUAGGCGGUCUAUUAAGUCUGGUGUGAAAUCUAGUGGCUCAACCACUAAAUUGCAUUGGAAACUGAUGGA